rnacentral:lncRNA from 1 species
UGGCCGCAGAGCGGCUUUGCCGUAAUGUAUAUCUGGAGCCUUCUUUUCCCCUCAUUCCCUGGGUUCCUGCAGGACAAACGAUCCUCCACAGAAAUAAUAAUAAUAGCAACAGACAUUUAAUGAGCUGACUGUGUGCUGAGGUCACCCAUCGAGUGCUCCUGACAGCUCCUUGAGUUAUUUCCCAGAAUCUAGACCCAGUGAUUUUUCAAGAGCAUUUGGGCCUGGAACAUACGCGCUUGUGAUUUCAUUGACCCUACCAACAGCCAUUCAGGGCCACACCUCAGGAUCCCUGAGAUCUGAGAUCAGAUGGAAGAGCAGCCAGCAGAGAACCAGGCCACUGUGGUGCCCUGAGCUGGGAAAAGGUCCUCCAGGAGAGAGAAGUUGACUGUGAAGAUGCUGGUGGAAGACGCAGCAAGAAGAGAAAGGGAACAGAGAAUCUAAUCUCCACAUUAGGUUAGCAACGUGGAGGUCCCUGGGUGCUUGACAAGAGCAAUUUCAACAGAAUAGUGAACACAGAUGUCUGAUUAAAGUGUCCUGGGGAGUGGCUGGGGAAGGGAAGAGGAAAUGUCUAGAUAAUCUUUCUGCAAGUUUGGCUGUAAAGGUGAGUAGAGAGAUGGGAUGGCAGCUGGAGGCGUGUGGUAUGAUGAAGGGGGUUUUCUGUUUGUUUGAUUGAAUGAGUGAUUGACUAGUGACGGGUUUUUUUGAAUGGUGGGAGAUACUGGCAUUUGCUGUAAGAGAGUUCUUUGUGACACAGGACUAUUCUGUGCAUCGCCAGAUGCUUAACAUCCCUGCCUCCUCCCAGUACAGGCCAGUAGAGCCCCCCAAAUAUAGUGACAACCACAAACCACCCCCACUUCCAGGAGCCCCCUCAUGUGCAACACCAAAAUGCAGCUGCGAACCAAUGCUGUAGCCCAGAGGUGGGCAAACUUCCUGUGUAAGGGACCAGGUAGUAAACCUUCUAAGCUUUGAGGGCCGUGAGGUCUCUGUCGCAACUACUCAACUCUGCCGUUGUGGUGAGGGAGCAGCCAUAGAUGGAGCUGAACAAAUGUGUGCGGCUGUGUGCCGAGAAGGCUUUAUUUACAGGCCAGCCUCGGCCCGUGGGCCGCAGUUACCCCCUGCCCUGGCAUGCUUGCAUGCUGGUGGGGAUCAGCUGAAGAAGGGGUCAGUGAUGCUGAAGAGAGAGAAAAACAAACAAACAAGGCUCCUGAGAGAGCCAGAGGGCCUCUAGGGCCCAAGGCUGGUGGCGGUGGUGGGGAGAAGGACACGCCUGCUGCGAGGAGGAGGAG